GGCAGCCAAGCCAAGAGGCUGGGAGGGCCGAUCCCUGCUGAUGGCGUCGAGCACCCAGGUACAGCCUCACCUGAAACUCUCUGCCUUUAGACGGCCUAGUUACAGAAAUCGUUCUCUCCUGCUUUGUUCGUUUGCUAGUUCAAGCCCCUUGGGUUUCUGUCACAGGCUAUCAAAAGAAUCCUGGGGCCGGGUCGGCGGCAUACUGGUUAAGCUCCUGCACUCCUCUUCAGCGGCCCCAGGUUUGCAGAACCCACAGGACAGACUCCUGCCCGCGGUGCCCUGCUGUCUCGCCUCCUGACCCCCGGGGCUUCCCGGGUGGCCCUGCGAGCUCCGCCUCGGAGAACUGCAAGUAAUCAACUAUCUUCUCAAUGGCAUCGUCUCCGGGUCCGCUGGCCUUACUGAACCGCACAUGUUCCCUUGUCACUUUCUCUGUGAAACCUGCCCUCCCAGACCCUUUGCAGACGCUUAGCCUGAACAGAGGAAGAGCAAAGGAUGUGUGCGCCCUGUCACAGCAUCUUCGACAAGAGCCCACUGUGCACCUGAAGCCAGAAGCAUCUUCUCCAGCGGAGGCCGAGCACGUCGCUCCCUGCUCCUGCUCCCCUGCUCCUUAGAAACUGACCCAGGGCCCUUGCUGUGGAACUGAGCUUAGCCUAACGAGGCAGCUCAGAGGCAGCCGCCGGCCAGCCAGCCAGCGCCCAAGCUCACAGAAGAGACGGAGAAAGCCUCAUCAGCAGAGCGUUCCGUCAUCGCAGCUGACUGCUCUCCAGGCCUGAGCUGGGGAUAUCGAAGUUCGGAGACGCAGAGCACAAUGCACCAGCGGAAGUGGUCCCAGAAACAAGGGGUGCUGGUCCACGUCCCCCCAAGCCUCGCGCCUGCCUCUGUCUUGUACGUGCCCACCACCGCAGCCUCCUUCUGUCUGGGACGCCUCCUCCGAUUGCUGCGGUCAGAGCCUGCAGCCCUCCCCACUAGGUGCCACCUCCCUUUAGACUGCCAGCAGGGGUGAGCGUGUGCUGAGCUGGGCACGUCCUGCCUCUGUCCCCGGCACAGGGGACUGUCCUCCUGUUGGGUCCCCGCCUUCUCUUCCCAGCUGGGCUGUGCUCUUCCAGCGGGAUCCACGCCUCAUUCCCCUCGGGGAGCCCGUGAGUCUGGCCAAGCGCCCAGCAUGUGGGUUCACCGAGGGGAGCCUCACGGGCAGAGGAUUUGUGGAAAACCGAACCAGUCAGUGUGAGUAAAGCCCAGGGAGGAGGUGGGAGUGCAA